AGAGUUUGAUCAUGGCUCAGAACGAACGCUGGCGGCGCGCCUAAUACAUGCAAGUCGAGCGAGAAGGUGUAGCAAUACACUUGUAAAGCGGCGAACGGGUGAGGAAUACAUGGGUAAUCUACCAUCGAGUGGGGAAUAACCAGCCGAAAGGUUGGCUAAUACCGCGUACGCCUCCGAGUCUUCGGGUUCGGAGGGAAAGCUGUACUGUGAGUGCAGCGCUCUUUGAUGAGCUCAUGUCCUAUCAGCUUGUUGGUAGGGUAACGGCCUACCAAGGCUUUGACGGGUAGCUGGUCUGAGAGGACGAUCAGCCACACUGGCACUGCGACACGGGCCAGACUCCUACGGGAGGCAGCAGUAAGGAAUAUUGCGCAAUGGGCGAAAGCCUGACGCAGCGACGCCGCGUGGGGGAUGAAGGUCUUCGGAUUGUAAACCCCUUUCGGGAGGGAAGAUGGAGCGAGCAAUCGUUCGGACGGUACCUCCAGAAGCAGCCACGGCCAACUUCGUGCCAGCAGCCGCGGUAAUACGAAGGUGGCAAGCGUUGUUCGGAUUCACUGGGCGUACAGGGUGUGUAGGCGGUUUGGUGAGCCUUCUGUUAAAGCUUCGGGCCCAACCCGGAAAGCGCAGAGGGUACUGCCAGGCUAGAGGGUGGGAGAGGAGCGCGGAAUUCCCGGUGUAGCGGUGAAAUGCGUAGAGAUCGGGAGGAAGGCCGGUGGCGAAGGCGGCGCUCUGGAACAUACCUGACGCUGAGACACGAAAGUGUGGGGAGCAAACAGGAUUAGAUACCCUGGUAGUCCACGCCCUAAACUAUGGAUACUAAGUGUCGGCGGGUUACCGCCGGUGCCGCAGCUAACGCAUUAAGUAUCCCGCCUGGGAAGUACGGCCGCAAGGUUGAAACUCAAAGGAAUUGACGG
rnacentral:rRNA from 1 species